rnacentral:rRNA from 1 species
UGGGGAAUAUUGCACAAUGGGCGCAAGCCUGAUGCAGCCAUGCCGCGUGUAUGAAGAAGGCCUUCGGGUUGUAAAGUACUUUCAGUCGGGAGGAAGGUGGUAAGGUUAAUAACCUUAUCAAUUGACGUUACCGACAGAAGAAGCACCGGCUAACUCCGUGCCAGCAGCCGCGGUAAUACGGAGGGUGCAAGCGUUAAUCGGAAUUACUGGGCGUAAAGCGCACGCAGGCGGUUGAUUGAGUCAGAUGUGAAAUCCCCGGGCUUAACCCGGGAAUUGCAGCUGAUAAUGGUCAGCUAGAGUCUUGUAGAGGGGGGUAGAAUUACAUGUGUAGCGGUGAAAUGAGUAGAGAUGUGGAGGAAUACCGGUGGCGAAGGCGGCCCCCUGGACAAAGACUGACGCUCAGGUGCGAAAGCGUGGGGAGCAAACAGG